AUCUAGCUGAUGAGUCCCAAAUAGAAUGAAAUGUACGCUCUAGAU
rnacentral:hammerhead_ribozyme from 1 species